GCUGUGGAUUGUGGUGACCAUGGAGAGAAGUCCUGGCAAAUGUGCUCAGCACUUUGUCUUCAGCCCUUGAAGCAAAGCAUGCACCACCUGCUCUGGGAUUUUGUAAUCACCCAGAAAGGGCUCAAGUGUGUCUCUGGUAAUUACUGGAUCUGCUGGUGGGUGAAGAAGGUCCAGAUAAAAGCCUAGAUGCACAAAAAGGCAAGGCUUUUUGGUGAUAAUCUGCAAGUAGUUCCUGAUAACAUAGUACAUCUUAAGAAAAAGAAAGCUGUACAGCCUCCUAUAAAGGACUAACUUUUACAGAUUAAUAUGCAGUGGGUAGGCAGUUUCCUCUACCCAGCCAGCUGUGCUUGGUUAGACCUGCAGAGCUUUUCUCUGUUUCUCCUUGUUGACGCUAGAAAUGGAGGGAAAAGUCUGCCUGUGUUCCUCCCACAUCACACAGUGACUAUUCAAGGGAGCCUGGAGUUUUGCAAGGAAUCUGAUCUCCCUGCACAGAAAUGUCUGAUGACUGAUCCUGUAUUGGGACACUUAAAUAGUUAUGGAGAUAUGAGGCUUGACAGAAAGAGGCUCUGGAGCAGUGUUGAUGCCAGCGGCUUGGUGGAGGGAGGACUGAGGAGAAGGUGGGUUGCUGAGCCAGAGGGCAGGAAGAGAGAGAAACGGGUUGGAGGCACAGACCGAUCCAGGAAAACAUGGGGACUUUCCACCAGAAAACUGGCAUUUCACCAGGCGAUCCUCAGGUCUGCUGGGAGAGGAUAUUGCUGUUUCCAUCCUUGCUGCAGGGAGCUUUGGCUCCCAGGUAUAGCUAGAUCGCUUCCAGAGUUGUUAUUGCAAAGUAGUGUUCAUACGAACUGGUCUGGGAGGCAAAAAAAUAAAACCCCUUCAGCUGGAUAUGUGACCUGUGGUGAAGUUUAAUCAGCUUUGCGAGGUAUAUUUUGUAUCCUACUGUUUCAAAUAAAUAAAUAAAGCUUCAUGUAAAAAUUAGGCAUUUGAAAAGACCCUCCAGCCAGGCUUUUUUUUUUUUUUUUUUUUUUUUUCCUCAGUUUUCCUUCUAUUUAUAACUUUUUGCGAGAAAUGGCCACUGUUUUGCCAAACAUUCAUUAGAGCUUUUAAUUAUGCAUACUGGCAUUUUAUGCAAUUUGUUGGUUAACUCUUAGCAGACAUUUCUGAUAUUUCAGAGAGAUGGAUGCUGACAGAAUGCAUCUGAUCUGGGUGUCUAUGAACAUGCACUGUAGCAUCCUAUUUUACUUUUCUUUCUUUAUGAGAUUAGGACAGAAAUUAAAUGCAAAUAAGACAAUACUAACAACUUUGUUUAAGCAAAGUUGGACGCAGAAGGAACAUGUGAAAUUUAUCAGUCUAAACAUGGGACAAUUUUCCUAAAUAUUGUUGGCUUCUUGGGCUUCCUUCUAUGAAGAAAGUUAUGAUAUACACAUAAUGUAAAAUAAUAAUAUAUAAUAUAAAUUAACAAUUACAUAAAAUAAAAAUAUAUAAUAUAAAAUAACAAUUUUAAGAAUAGAAACCAUUCAGAAGAAGCCCAUAAAGCACAUAUUACACUCUCUUGCUUCUUUUCUAGAUAUCUGAAGGAUUUUUUGUGCUACUUGUGUACUCUGUGUUGCUGUGCUCUGUACCUCUCCUCCUAGAGUUGUGUGCCCGCAGCAAGCACUCGGUGUUUGUGCAGAUGGAGCAAACUGAUCACAGAGCAGCGUCUGCCCCACAAGGACACUGACCAGGGUCAGAUCCUCUGGUUUAUGUGCAAGCCAAUACAGGUGUUCCUAUGGCAAUAUCUGGGGGCAUUUCGCCUGUAAACUUGGUAGCAUGCCAAGCAUUUGCAGUCACUUAGUCUCUCUCUCUCUCUCUUCCCCCUUAGGUGUAUAUUCUCUUGAAUGCUCAUGUUAUUCCUAUAUAUUUACAGUAACUAUUAAAUGUAGCCAUUAUUAGCCUCUGAAAAUGAUCUGCCAUUUGCAAACUGGGUAUGGAACUUCAACCACUUUCAUGUUCUGCUUAUAAAAUAUAUCAUUACAAGGUGCUUUCCUGAAAUGUCUUCUCUCUGAAAAUUUCAGUCUGUGGUUAAUCUUGCUCAGAGCUCCAGCACUGUUAUUUCAAGUUCAGCCUGCAGUUUAUUAUAACUCCGCAAUCCUUUUUUGAAGAACUGCUAACCAAUUAUUCUCCAUCCUAUGACUGUAGAGUUGCAUAUUUGUGCCAAAACCAUAAUACUUUGUUCUUGUCUCUACUAAAUUGAAUACUGUUUUUGCAGACCAUUUCUCCAAUUUUCCUACAGGCGUGCAUAUUAAUAAGAAUAAAGUUGUGCCUCUAAAUCAGCCUUAACCAAGCCAUUUAAUGAAGGUCAGGGUUGUUUAAAAUGAAGUCACAGGAGUCCAAAGGGGUGAAUAGAUGCAGAUGGUGAGAGGAGAGCUGUAAUAUAGCAGCUAAAAUCAUAAUAGUUAAAGCUGUGAAAACGUGAGCUCUAGGAAUAUUGUUUGUAUUGUUGCACAGUUCCAUAAGUAAAUAAGAAGUGUGUCACUAUACCAAUACAUGUAAUUUUAAGUCCUUUUGUGCUAAUAAUCCAAAUAACCAAAAUUAAGUCAUUUUGCAGAAUGUGGUUUCUCAAAAUGACCA